rnacentral:rRNA from 1 species
GAUCAUGGCUCAGGAUGAACGCUGGCGGCGUGCUUAACACAUGCAAGUCGAACGGACUUUAUAUGAAGCCUAGCGAUUAUAAAGUUAGUGGCGGACGGGUGAGUAACGCGUGAAUAACCUGCCCUGUACCGGGGGACAACAGUUGGAAACGACUGCUAAUACCGCAUAAGCGCACGGUUCCGCAUGGAACAGUGUGAAAAACUCCGGUGGUACGGGAUGGAUUCGCGUCUGAUUAGCCAGUUGGUGGGG